rnacentral:rRNA from 1 species
UGGGGAAUUUUGGACAAUGGGCGCAAGCCUGAUCCAGCCAUGCCGCGUGAGUGAAGAAGGCCUUCGUGUUGUAAAGCUCUUUCGGCUGGGAAGAAAUCGCACUCUCUAAUACAGGGUGUGGAUGACGGUACCAGCAUAAGAAGCACCGGCUAACUACGUGCCAGCAGCCGCGGUAAUACGUAGGGUGCGAGCGUUAUUCGGAAUUACUGGGCGUAAAGCGUGCGCAGGCGGUUGUGUAAGACAGACGUGAAAUCCCCGGGCUCAACCUGGGAACUGCGUUUGUGUCUGCACGGCUAGAGUACGGCAGAGGGGGGUGGAAUUCCACGUGUAGCAGUGAAAUGCGUAGAGAUGUGGAGGAACACCGAUGGCGAAGGCAGCCCCCUGGGCCAGUACUGACGCUCAUGCACGAAAGCGUGGGGAGCAAACA